rnacentral:rRNA from 1 species
CAGUAGCCGCGGGAAUACGUAGGGUGCAAGCGUUAAUCGGAAUUACUGGGCGUAAAGCGUGCGCAGGCGGUUUGUUGAGACAGAUGUGAAAUCCCCGGGCUCAACCUGGGAACUGCAUUUGUGACUGGCAGGCUAGAGUAUGGCAGAGGGGGGUGGAAUUCCGCGUGUAGCAGUGAAAUGCGUAGAUAUGCGGAGGAACACCGAUGGCGAAGGCAGCCCCCUGGGCCAAUUCUGACGCUCAUGCACGAAAGCGUGGGGAGCAAACAGGAUUAGAUACCCCGGUAGUCCCUGUCUCUUAUAC